rnacentral:rRNA from 1 species
CACGUAGGGCGCGAGCGUUGUCCGGAAUUAUUGGGCGUAAAGAGCUCGUAGGCGGCCUGUUGCGUCCGCUGUGAAAGCCCGGGGCUUAACCCCGGGUCGGCAGUGGAUACGGGCAGGCUAGAGGUAGGUAGGGGAGAAUGGAAUUCCCGGUGUAGCGGUGAGAUGCGCAGAUAUCGGGAGGAACACCGGUGGCGAAGGCGGUUCUCUGGGCCUUACCUGACGCUGAGGAGCGAAAGCGUGGGGAGCGAACAGG